rnacentral:pre_miRNA from 1 species
UAAAUACUCCCUCCGUCCGGAAAUACUUGUCAUCAAAAUGGAUAAAAGGAAAUGUAUCUAGACGUAUUUUAGUUUUAGAUACAUCUCUUUUUAUCCAUUUUGAUGACAAGUAUUUUUGGACGGAGGGAGUAUUUA